rnacentral:rRNA from 1 species
AGCGAACGCUGGCGGCAGGCUUAACACAUGCAAGUCGAACGGGCACUUCGGUGUCAGUGGCAGACGGGUGAGUAACACGUGGGAACGUACCUCUUGGUUCGGAACAAAACAGGGAAACUUGUGCUAAUACCGGAUAAGCCCCUACGGGGAAAGAUUUAUCGCCGAGAGAUCGGCCCGCGUCUGAUUAGCUAGUUGGUAGGGUAAUGGCCUACCAAGGCGACGAUCAGUAGCUGGUCUGAGAGGAUGAUCAGCCACAUUGGGACUGAGACACGGCCCAAACUCCUACGGGAGGCAGCAGUGGGGAAUAUUGGACAAUGGGGGCAACCCUGAUCCAGCCAUGCCGCGCGAGUGAUGAAGGCCCUAGGGUUGUAAAGCUCUUUUGUGCGGGAAGAUAAUGACGGUACCGCAAGAAUAAGCCCCGGCUAACUUCGUGCCAGCAGCCGCGGUAACAC